rnacentral:misc_RNA from 1 species
GAUGAAGAACGUAGCGAAAUGCGAUACGUAAUGUGAAUUGCAGAAUUCAGUGAAUCAUCGAGUCUUUGAACGCACAUUGCGCCCCCUGGUAUUCCGGGGGGCAUGCCUGUCCGAGCGUCAUUGCUGCCCUCAAGCACGGCUUGUGUGUUGGGCCUCCGUCCUCCUCCCGGGGGACGGGCCCGAAAGGCAGCGGCGGCACCGCGUCCGGUCCUCUAGCGUAUGGGGCUUCGUCACCCGCUCUUGUAGGCCCGGCCGGCGCUUGCCGACACAUCAAUCUUUUUUCCAGGUUGACCUCGGAUCAGGUAGGGAUACCCGCUGAACUUAAGCAUAUCAAUAAGCGGAGGA